rnacentral:lncRNA from 1 species
CCGCCCCCGGCGUCACGUGACUAGCUGCGCUGGUGCACGCAGCCGGGAGGGGCGGGCUCCUUCCCCUGGCAAGCCGGAAGCUCCGCACCUACACUUGGUAGAAUGCACCGGUGAAGCUAUCUGGUCCUGCGCUUUUCUUUGUGGUCAUAAGGCUCCGAUCCCUGCUGAGAGGACCCUGCUCCACACCCAGAAGGAAAGAAAGCAUGCUCACAGAGACCACAAAAAACCUAGACAGACACUGGGUUUCCCCACUCUUUUUUCUUUUUUUUUUUUUUUUUUUUGAAGUGGAGUUUCAUUCUUGUCUCCCAGGCUGG